rnacentral:rRNA from 1 species
UACGAAGGGGGCUAGCGUUGUUCGGAAUUACUGGGCGUAAAGCGCGUGUAGGCGGGCCGUUAAGUCGGGGGUGAAAGCCCAGAGCUCAACUCUGGAAUUGCCUUCGAUACUGGCGGCCUGGAGCAUGAUAGAGGCAAGUGGAAUUGCGAGUGUAGAGGUGAAAUUCGCAGAUAUUCGCAGGAACACCGGUGGCGAAGGCGACUUGCUGGAUCAUUGCUGACGCUGAGACGCGAAAGCGUGGGGAGCAAACAGG